rnacentral:rRNA from 1 species
CAAUAGCGUAUAUUAAAGUUGUUGCGGUUAAAAAAGCUCGUAGUUGGAUUUCUGCCGAGGACGACCGGUCCGCCCUCUGGGUGAGCAUCUGGCUCGGCCUGGGCAUCUUCUUGGAGAACGUAUCUGCACUUGACUGUGUGGUGCGGUAUUCAGGACUUUUACUUUGAGGAAAUUAGAGUGUUUCAAGCAGGCAUACGCCUUGAAUACAUUAGCAUGGAAUAAUAAGAUAGGACCUCGGUUCUAUUUUGUUGGUUUCUAGAUCUGAGGUAAUGAUUAAUAGGGAUAGUUGGGGGCAUUAGUACUUAACUGUCAGAGGUGAAAUUCUCCGAUUUGUUAAAGACUAACUUAUGCGAAAGCAUUUGCCAGGGAUGUUUUCACUGAUCAAGAACGAAAGUUAGGGGAACGAAGACGAUUAGAUAC